CGACUAAAUAAAUAAUAAUAAUACAGGAAUAACGCUGAUAUGGUAUUUACACAUGGUACAGUUCUUAAUUUUAUAAUAUUAUAUUAAUAUCUUUGUACAUUAUCAAAAACAAUAUAUUGUAUAACAAACAAACGAACAAAAUACUUCGAUAACUUUCUAAGAUAUGGGUACAACACCGAGUGAACAUUUAUUGUAUAACAAUUGACCGAUUUUCCAUAUUUUAUUAUACAAACGUUUGCCCAUAAUGCAUAAUAUUAUUACGUAUUAUUCGGGAGGAACGUAAAAAAAAAAAAAAAAAAAAACAAACAAAACGAAAAAUCGCGUUUUUUUUUUUAUUUUUUAAAAAUGCUGGCGAUAAUAAUGGGAAUAAUAAAGACCGCGCGGCGAAUAAUCGUUAUGGAAAAGUCACUACGAUUGAGCAAUAAUUUUAUCCUCUCGAAAAAUGUUACUGCGGGAAUCAAUAAUAAUUACAAUGUGCGUUUAAAAUGGUUUUCGGAACGUUUCGUGUUCUUAAUAUUAAUGUACAUUAAUGUGUCUGUGGCUCGGUAAAAGAGGUGUCGAUGUCAAAAGUAAUCUGAAAAAAAAAAUUAACCGAAAAAAAAAAUUAGUUUCUUCCGAAAAUUCCAACACUGAAAGUACUUGACUAUUGCGAUAGGUACAGUUAAAAAAAAAAAAUGCAAUUAUUUUUUUUUUUGACGACGGUCCGUUUUGCACCUAACCGCAGCUAGUAAUAUGAUUGCGAGUAAACAGUACAACAACAACAACAACAACAACAACAACAAAAAGGGAUAACUUUAAAUAUAAUAUCAAAAAUUAGGAAAAAGUUUGUCGUCCGACCGAUAAGUGUGAGUGACGGAACCGUAAUAAUUGACUUUUUCAAUUAGAUUAUAAAUAAUAAUUGUAUUAAACUACUCGAUAACAACUGAGAUAAUAUAAUUAUUGAACACCCGUUGGUAAGAAUAACGGUUAUAGACGGGACAGUUGCACAACGGCGUAUUCUAUAAUACACCGGACUGCGGUCCAAAAGAUUCUUAACAAACUUAACGUUUUCUCGCUGACUUACAGCGCUCCCGGCGGAAUAAUUAAUGAAAUUACACAUUACUGUCGCGGUCAUAAUAAUAAUGUACCACGGGUACAAUAUUGGUAUUGUCUAAAAAUUUUGUCGAAGUUUUAUCUAAACGGAGCCACAAGGCAGGGGGUUUUUCAUAUUUUUGAUAAAAACCGUCGGGGUCACUUCUUGGCGAUUGGUAGUGCAAACAUUCUGCCUAUAACCGCGGUGAGAACAACGUUCAAGAGAUUUUCAAUUCAAAGAAUGUGUUACCAGUAUUCUAUUCGUAUCGAGUAGUAUUGCAAAAUCGUUUAUAAUCUGAUUGUCGAGUCAACGGGGUUUGUCGCGUAUGAUAAUUAUGUCGGCUUCGACGGACAUACAAAAUGAAUACGGUAAAAUCGUGAGGUCUGUUUAUUACAAUAUGGUUCUACGGUCGUGUUUAUUAAAAACAAAUUUCAGUGGACGAUAUUUUAACGAAUUAUGACCGGCGGCGGGGUUUCAAUAUAAAUUAUACAAACAAAUACGAUUCGUGACGAGCGCAAUAAUAAUAUUAUAAUAUUUCGAUUCUGGACACGGGUUUUUCGAAC